AUGAUCCCAUGGCUGAAUUUGUUGUCCUUGUUAGUGCUGUUUCAAGGUGUCCGAUCUGAGGUCCAGAUGGUGGAGUCUGGAGGGGAUGUGAGAAGACCUGGGGAAUCCCUCCAUCUCUCCUGCCAAGCCUCUGGAUUCACCUUCAGCAAUGCUUACAUGCACUGGAUGAGACAGGCUCCAGGAAAAGGACUUGAAUGGGUGGCCUGGAUAUAUCCAAGCUCAUCAUACAUUUACUACUCAGACAAAGUCAAGGGACGCUUCAUCAUCUCCAGGGACGAUGCCAAAAGCCAGCUGUAUCUGCAAAUGAACAGCCUCAAAGCUGAAGACACGGCUGUCUAUUACUGUGCGAGAGACACAGUGAGAGGAAGUGAAUCUGAAGCCUGUCAAGAACCUUCUCUGCCUCUGAGUAACUUCCCAAUAUCAUUCAUACAAGUCUAUAUUUGGGUUUUAUUUAUAUUCUAUUUGAAUUGUGUUGCUGCCUUCUUUGAUUGUUUUGAACUUCCAUCCAUUCUGAGUCUUUGAUCAGUCCCACAAAUUUUGCACUGAAAAGCUGGAUUUUUAAUUAAUGAAAUGUGAUGCCACCCAUUGUUCCAAUAAUUAAAAAAAGUUUAUUUUAACACUUAUCAUGACAGCCCCCCUAAUCUAUUUGUGUUUCUAU